rnacentral:rRNA from 1 species
UAACCUGCCCAAGAGAUCGGGAUAACACCUGGAAACAGAUGCUAAUACCGGAUAACAACAGAUGAUGCCUAUCAACUGUUUAAAAGAUGGUUCUGCUAUCACUCUUGGAUGGACCUGCGGUGCAUUAGCAGUUGGUAGGGUAACGGCCUACCAAGGCGAUGAUGCAUAGCCGAGUUGAGAGACUGAUCGGCCACAUUGGGACUGAGACACGGCCCAAACUCCUACGGGAGGCAGCAGAG